GAUCCUGGCUCGGGAUGAGCGCUAGCUACAGGCUUAACACAUGCAAGUCGAGGGGCAUCAGUUUGGUUUGCUUGCAAACCAAAGCUGGCGACCGGCGCACGGGUGAGUAACACGUAUCCAACCUGCCUCAUACUCGGGGAUAGCCUUUCGAAAGAAAGAUUAAUAUCCGAUAGCAUAUAUUUCCCGCAUGGGUUUUAUAUUAAAGAAAUUCGGUAUGAGAUGGGGAUGCGUUCCAUUAGUUUGUUGGGGGGGG
rnacentral:rRNA from 1 species